rnacentral:rRNA from 1 species
UACGUAGGGGCCAAGCGUUGUCCGGAAUCAUUGGGCGUAAAGGGCGUGUAGGCGGUCUUUUAAGUCAGAUGUUAAAUCUACGGGCUCAACUCGUAGCCGCAUCUGAUACUGGGAGACUAGAGAGUGGUAGAGGAAAGCGGAACUUCCGGUGUAGCGGUGAAAUGCGUAGAUAUCGGAAGGAACACCAGUGGCGAAGGCGGCUUUCUGGGCCAUUUCUGACGCUGAGACGCGAAAGCUAGGGGAGC